GCCGCCGUAGCUUAGUGGUAGAGCGGCGGCCUCGUAAGCCGCAGGUCGCGGGUUCGAAUCCCGCCGGCGGCU
rnacentral:tRNA from 1 species